rnacentral:lncRNA from 1 species
UCAAUAAAACUUUGUGUGGAUGUCCACCUGCGUGCAUAUAUAUGCAAUAAUCACCACCGAACAUAUGUAAGUUUUGUGGAAGUAUUAUUCGUUGACUAUUAUGUGUAACGAUGUAAUAAACAAACAUCCACUUUAUGCAAAUGGUCUUAUCUAUUAAUAAUUAAAUUUUGGCUCUAAUACUAUUUCUAUUAAUAAUAAACAAACAUCCAUUUUAUGCAAUAAGCAC